CCUACGGGAGGCAGCAGUGAGGAAUAUUGGUCAAUGGGCGCGAGCCUGAACCAGCCAAGUAGCGUGAAGGAUGACUGCCCUACGGGUUGUAACCUUCUUUUAUAAAGGAAUAAAGUGAGGCACGUGUGCCUUUUUGUAUGUACUUUAUGAAUAAGGCUCGGCUAACUCCGUGCCAGCAGCCGCGGUAAUACGGAGGAUCCGAGCGUUAUCCGGAUUUAUUGGGUUUAAAGGGAGCGUAGAUGGGUUGUUAAGUCAGUUGUGAAAGUUUGCGGCUCAACCGUAAAAUUGCAAUUGAUACUGGCAGUCUUGAGUACAGUUGAUGUAGGCGGAAUUCGUGGUGUAGCGGUGAAAUGCGUAGAUAUCACGAAGAACUCCGAUGGCGAAGGCAGCUUACUAAACUGCCACUGACAUUGAUGCUCGAAAGUGUGGGGAGCAAACAGGAUUAGAUAACCGGGUAGUC
rnacentral:rRNA from 1 species